GUCUCAGUAACACGUGGCCAAGCUACCCUGUGGACGGGAAUACUCUCGGGAAACUGAGACUAAUCCCCGAUAACGCUUUGCUCCUGGAAGGGGCAAAGCCGGAAACGUUCCGGCGCCACAGGAUGCGGCUGCGGUCGAUUAGGUAGACGGUGGGGUAACGGCCCACCGUUCCCAUAAUCGGUACGGGUUGUGAGAGCAAGAGCCCGGAGACGGAAUGUGAGACAAGAUUCCGGGCCCUACGGGGCGCAGCAGGCGCGAAACCUUUACACUGUACGAAAGUGCGAUAAGGGGACUCCGAGUGUGAAGGCAUAGAGCCUUCACUUUUGUACACCGUAAGGCGGUGCACGAAUAAGGGUGCAUCCUGGGCAAGACCGGUGCCAGCCGCCGCGGUAAUACCGGCAGUCCGAGUGAUGGCCGAUCUUAUUGGGCCUAAAGCGUCCGUAGCUGGCUGAACAAGUCCGUUGGGAAAUCUGUCCGCUUAACGGGCAGGCGUCCAGCGGAAACUGUUCAGCUUGGGACCGGAAGACCUGAGGGGUACGUCUGGGGUAGGAGUGAAAUCCUGUAAUCCUGGACGGACCGCCGGUGGCGAAAGCGCCUCAGAGAACGGAUCCGA
rnacentral:rRNA from 1 species